UACGUAGGGGGCAAGCGUUGUCCGGAUUUAUUGGGCGUAAAGCGCGCGCAGGCGGCUUGGCGCGCCCGACGUGAAAGCCCCCGGCUUAACCGGGGAGGGUCGUCGGGUACGGCCGGGCUUGAGGGCGGGAGAGGGUGGUGGAAUUCCCGGUGUAGUGGUGAAAUGCGUAGAGAUCGGGAGGAACACCUGUGGCGAAGGCGGCCGCCUGGGCCGACCCUGACGCUGAGGCGCGAAGGCGUGGGGAGCGAACGGG
rnacentral:rRNA from 1 species